GGGGGGGGGGGGGGGGGGGGGGGGGGGGGGGGGGGGGGGGGGGGGGGGGGGGCGGGGGGGGGGGGCUGGGGGGGCGGGCGGGUGAGGAGCGCGUGAGGAGCCUGCGGUUGACUUUGGGAUAACUUCAGGACACUGGGGCGCAUACCGGAUCGGCGCGCCUGCUGCAUGGUGGGGGUUGGAAGGUUUCGGCGGUUGGGGAUGGACUCGCGGCUGAUCAGCUUGUUGGGGGGGUAGUGGCUUACCACGGCGUUGACGGGUAGCCGGCCUGAGAGGGUGACCGGCCACAUUGGGACUGAGAUACGGCCCAGACUCCUACGGGAGGCACCAGUGGGGAAUAUUGCACAAUGGGCGGAAGCCUGAUGCAGCAACGCCGCGUGCGGGAUGACGGCCUUCGGGUUGUAAACCGCUUUCGCCUGUGACGAAGCGUGAGUGACGGUAAUGGGUAAAGAAGCACCGGCUAACUACGUG
rnacentral:rRNA from 1 species